rnacentral:rRNA from 1 species
UCGAGCGGCGGACGGGUGAGUAAUGCCUAGGAAAUUGCCCUGAUGUGGGGGAUAACCAUUGGAAACGAUGGCUAAUACCGCAUGAUGCCUACGGGCCAAAGAGGGGGACCUUCGGGCCUCUCGCGUCAGGAUAUGCCUAGGUGGGAUUAGCUAGUUGGUGAGGUAAGGGCUCACCAAGGCGACGAUCCCUAGCUGGUCUGAGAGGAUGAUCAGCCACACUGGAACUGAGACACGGUCCAGACUCCUACGGGAGGCAGCAGUGGGGAAUAUUGCACAAUGGGCGCAAGCCUGAUGCAGCCAUGCCGCGUGUGUGAAGAAGGCCUUCGGGUUGUAAAGCACUUUCAGUCGUGAGGAAGGUAGUGUAGUUAAUAGCUGCAUUAUUUGACGUUAGCGACAGAAGAAGCACCGGCUAACUCCGUGCCAGCAGCCGCGGUAAUACGGAGGGUGCGAGCGUUAAUCGGAAUUACUGGGCGUAAAGCGCAUGCAGGUGGUUUGUUAAGUCAGAUGUGAAAGCCCGGGGCUCAACCUCGGAAUUGCAUUUGAAACUGGCAGACUAGAGUACUGUAGAGGGGGGUAGAAUUUCAGGUGUAGCGGUGAAAUGCGUAGAGAUCUGAAGGAAUACCGGUGGCGAAGGCGGCCCCCUGGACAGAUACUGACACUCAGAUGCGAAAGCGUGGGGAGCAAACAGGAUUAGAUACCCUGGUAGUCCACGCCGUAAACGAUGUCUACUUGGAGGUUGUGGCCUUGAGCCGUGGCUUUCGGAGCUAACGCGUUAAGUAGACCGCCUGGGGAGUACGGUCGCAAGAUUAAAACUCAAAUGAAUUGACGGGGGCCCGCACAAGCGGUGGAGCAUGUGGUUUAAUUCGAUGCAACGCGAAGAACCUUACCUACUCUUGACAUCCAGAGAACUUUCCAGAGAUGGAUUGGUGCCUUCGGGAACUCUGAGACAGGUGCUGCAUGGCUGUCGUCAGCUCGUGUUGUGAAAUGUUGGGUUAAGUCCCGCAACGAGCGCAACCCUUAUCCUUGUUUGCCAGCGAGUAAUGUCGGGAACUCCAGGGAGACUGCCGGUGAUAAACCGGAGGAAGGUGGGGACGACGUCAAGUCAUCAUGGCCCUUACGAGUAGGGCUACACACGUGCUACAAUGGCGCAUACAGAGGGCGGCCAACUUGCGAAAGUGAGCGAAUCCCAAAAAGUGCGUCGUAGUCCGGAUUGGAGUCUGCAACUCGACUCCAUGAAGUCGGAAUCGCUAGUAAUCGUGGAUCAGAAUGCCACGGUGAAUACGUUCCC